AAAUUUGACAGUGAAGAACAAGAAUGAAGGCAUUUAUCACUAUGGAAAGAAGCGGGCUAAGAAGAUACAUUUUCGCAAUGUGACCAUAAACGAGGCACAUAUGUAAAUACGAUGUCUUCCGAGUUCCUACUCCGAUAUUUCUGGACCGGACUGUGGUGACAGUCUAAUCUUUCUUCUUCCAAAGACUGUACAAAUGUUAAAAACAUUACUCCAUUUAUUAUUAGAAACAUAUUUCCAUCAAAUUAUACACUUAAAACAAUGUAAAUCGACUGCAACAUCAACUAAACCGCAAUCACAAGAUGUAAAUAAAGAAGAUUUUGGUGCUUCGA